rnacentral:lncRNA from 1 species
CAGCUGCUCAUUGAUACUUACGUUUCAAGAAGUAUUGCCACCACAUUCAUCAGCACCGGUACCAUGUGAUGUAGGACUAUGGGGUGGAGGCAGCGCGACAGCAGCUGUAUGACAGCAUCACUAUGGAUGAAUGGACUCUUGUAUGCCGGCAUUAUGAGGAUCCAGCAUAUCAAAUUACACAUCCAAAUUUUUUUUUAUAGUUUAAUGAUUGAAUCAUUUAUUCUUAAAUUCAGUUUAUUACCAACUAAUUUGACUACUAACUGUACAGAGAUGAUGUGUCCAGAACACUGCGAAUCGGGUAAGACAGAUCGUAUCACAUUGUAGGGGUUCGAGGUCGUUCGCUCGUCAUAUGGAGUAGAUGGUAAGUAAUUUUUAAUUAACAUAUUUUAACUCUAACUAUUUAAAAUUUUUUUAAUUAAUUGUUCUCAAAUCGCAGAGAGAUGUAGAGAGUGACGAGCUUUCUAAUAGAAUUGAUAUCUACCAGUGGAUCCACCAGCAACGGUCAGGAGAGUAGAC